UUUGCACACUGUUAGAGCCCAGCACUGCCUGCUGUGUGGGGUGCGGGGUGUAGGUUGUGUGCUACAGCAACUGCAAGAUCUCCAUUUUCUGUCUCUGAUUUUAUGAUUUAGAGGGGGAAUGUGGUUAGAUCAUGCAACACAC
rnacentral:snoRNA from 1 species